GCUGGGCGUGGUGGCUCACGCCUGUAAUCCCAGCACUUUGGGAGGCCGAGGUGGGAGAAUUAUUCGAGGCCAGGAGUUCGAGACCAGCCUGGCCAAUAUGGUGAAACCCUGUCUCUACUGAAAAUACAAAAAUUAGCUGGGCGUGGUGGCGGGUGCCUGUAAUCCCAGCUACUCAGGAGGCUGAGGUGGGAGAAUCGCUUGAACCCAGGAGGCGGAGGUUGCAGUGAGCCACGAUCCCACCACUGUACUCUAGCCUGGGCAACAGAAUGAGACCCUAUCUCA
rnacentral:sRNA from 1 species